rnacentral:rRNA from 1 species
UGGGGAUGACGUCAAGUCCUCAUGGCCUUUAUGCCCAGGGCUACACACGUGCUACAAUGGGUGGUACAAAGAGAUGCCAACUCGCGAGAGCGCGCCAAUCUCAGAAAGCCAUCCUCAGUUCGGAUUGGAGUCUGCAACUCGACUCCAUGAAGUUGGAAUCGCUAGUAAUCGCGGAUCAGCACGCCCGCGGUCGAAUACGUUCCGGGCCUU